AUAUAGAUUGGGUCGAAACACCAGCCUCAGUUAUACUUUUGGACCCAUAUAAGUUGGUUUUAGUAAUUAUGGAAUGACAUUGAUUGAAGUUAAAUCUCAAUCUACUCUUAGUAAUUAUAGAGUAAAGUUAAUUCUUAAUUUACGUUUAAUGAUUAAGGAGUAUAAAACGUUCGGACAAAAUCUUCUGACUCAGUUUAGUCUUUAAGCUUUAAAAAUUGUUUAAAAAUAAUUGUAUAAUCUGGUUUAAAAUAGAUUUUCACAAGUCAUAACUCGUAAGAGCAUGUCCACCCUCUAGGUCUUCAUUGGAAAGACCUGGGUCAUGGGCGAGAUUUGAGUCGUCACGUGGCAGUGAUUUUGAGCUGCAGUUUCCACCCACGAUUUUUAUUUCUGGGUCGUCACGUGGCAGUGACUGUUUAUUAAAUUUGUUUAUUAAAUUUUAUAUUCGAUAUUUUGAAUGUGAAUAAUAAUUUUAUAUAUUAAUAAAAUUAUGAUUAAAUAAACAAAAUAACAUAUUAAAAUUAAAUAUUUAUUUCAUGAUUUAAAUUGGCAUAUUAAGCCUAGAAAAAAAUAAAAUAUGUUAUAAAUAUUAUAAUCUAUGUGACUGUCCACGUAAUUACUCAUUAGUUAUGUACUCUGAUAUAAAUCAUACCUCUAUAUAAAGAGGCUAAUGAGAAUGAAUGAGUACAUUUCUACCUCCUCCUAACUAUUCUCUCUGUGUCUUCUCUCUAUCUUUACUUUACAACACGUUAUCAGCACGACUCUGUCUUGAGUUGAUAAGGACCAAACCCUAGAAGAAAACCAAAACAGAUUUUCUAAACACACCCUUACACCGUGCGCACACCUUCUUCUUAGCAUGCUUUCCUCAAUUUUCUUUGCUCAAUUUCCUAUAACUUGAGGAUGAUCUAUGAUGUUCUUGGCGCAACAAUUGUUGCUAUUUUGGACCAAGAUCAUUCAGGAUCUAUGAGUUUAGUUUGUGAUCAAUUUUCUUUAACGUAUAAUUGUUUUGUUUCACAGUGGCAUAUUUGGUUCGAUCAUAUCAAAAUGUUUCUUUUCUAAAAUCUUGAUUAAGGGAGGGCUAGCUACGUACUGGUUUGCCUAUCAAAAUCAUUUGUUUGAAUUGGUUUUGGCAAGCAAGUCAAAAUGGGACAUCUAUACGUUCACAAUACAUGCAUCAUGAUAUGUUUGCUUUCCUGUAUGAUUUUCCAUGAACACUUUCUUAGUACUCUCAAUUUCCCGUAUUGUAUGGUUUAUCGAUUUGCUUUCCCCAAUUAUGGAAUGAGCAAUUUGAUCAUUGUUUUAAUUACGUUAUAUACAACCUGACUCUUUGCUUUGAAUUGUUUAUUGAUGCAUGUAGUUAUCUGCUUCAUGAAAUCGGGUGGAUAGGUACAUACAUGUAUUAUGUAUAUGUGCUGCGCGCCUCCGCUAUUUAUCAUUUAUCCUAAACAAAGUCAUGGACUACAUGAUUUUAUCUUAUGCAUAUUGAUAUAGGUUGCAAAACCGGAUCAUGGCAUCAAAUUAUUGCCCCUGAUUAUUAUACGAGGGCCCGAAGUUCCUCAAGCGAUUUCGAAAUAUUGAAAGUUUAUACAAUCAACUAGGGCUAUAAGCUCCUCAGAGUUUUACAAUGAGAUUGUAACCCCUAAUCGAAGGCUUGAAGAUCCUCGCCUUAUAUGAUAUUAUGUUCUUGUGUAUCUAAAGGUUAUUGGAAGAUCAAGAUUAUCAUAUUUGAUAAAGUUAACCAGACCUGAAGAUCUGCGUAUUUUAUUCAUUCAUGGAACCAGAAGUUUCAUGUGUACAAUUUAUUUACUUUUUUGUUGUUUACAGUUUUCUUUAUUUUGUUAUGUACUUUCAUUAUAGUAAUCGUUUAAAUUUUAUUGUUAUUCAUUCGGGUCAACAACCAUUAUAUCUCGAACCAGAAGUUCAAAAUAAUGGAAUUAUAGAACCCGAAGUUCUAACGAUAAAAGCUCAAACCCGAAGUUUUGAGUAUAAAAUAUAAGGUGAACUUGAAGUUUCACUUGGGUUACUCGAGCCUGAAGUUUCGAGAACUUGAAUAAUUUGAACCUGAAGUUUGGCAUACGAAAUCUAGGAACCGAUCAUUCUAACAUUAUAAAUUUGAACCUGAAGCUUCGAUCUCAUAUAUGUUUGAUGGCUCUAGGAGAGCAAGAGGAAGUCAUCUUUUAUAUCUUAUAUAUCAUGCGUCAAAUUCUCAAGUAAUUAAGGCAUAUAAUGUCAUGAACCAGAAGUUCAUUGAAACCGAACAUGACUAGCUAUGUCAUAUUUUACCUACAGUGUUGCUUGCAAUUGGUAACAAGUCUUGAUCACCACUAGCCCUAUUCAUAGCAAAUUACUUAUAUGUCGCAUAUUUUUUUUGAGUUGUCACUUUAAUGAGACACUCUUCAUGGCAUGAGGGGGAGAAAUAUUGUUCUUGAAGAACGAUAUGUAUUGGUGUUAGAUACUUAUCCACUAUCUCAUUUUGAUUUUAACAAAUGUAUCAUCAAUUAGUGAUUUGAUAAAAGAUUAUAUGCUAGAUUCACUGUUUUCUACUUGGAUUAAAGUCUAUGAGACUAUCCAUAUUUUCUUAAAUAGUCUAUACCCCAUUUGAUUUGUGGGAUGCAUAUGUAUCCAAGUGACAUGGUUCACCUGAAGAGAAUGUCAUAAUACAAUGUUAGAGUUUCUAAUACAACUACACAUACAAAGGUUGUAUGCACGUUAUUAAAGAAUGAUAUCUUGGUUGAUAUUAAUGAUUUUAAUGUUCUUGACCUCCGACUUGGUUUUGGUUCGCCACCAGCCAACAGACAUCUCACUUGAAAGAAAGUGAUAGACCUUUAAACGCAUAUUUGCGGAUUGUCAUAACAUGACAGCAUUCCCGCCGUUGUCAUUUAAAUAACGGCGUGAAUUUAAAUGAAAUGUAUCCACUAGGUCUAAAGUUUUAAGCUCCUGAAAAUAGAAGAUUAUACAGGUCCUCUAAUGGUUUACAUGAUAUUACAAGUAAAAGAUCCACAUUCGCUAGAUAAUAUUUGUCUUAAAAGUGACAAUAUUUGCCCCAGAAGUGGCAUAGGUACCUAAUAUCAAAAAUGCAUGCAUAUAAAAAUGUGUGGGAUCUAUGAAUGAUGAUCAUCUAUGACAAUUGACAAAUGGUAGCUACCAAAGACCAUUAAGGACUGUAUUAAUCGAUGCUAUGUAUGUCACGGCAUGUCGACAAAAUAUAUUAUUGGCCAAAUUGGAAAGAGGCAAUUCCAAUGAAACUAAAUAUUUGAAACGUGAUGAGAUACUUUGAUCUUUAACCCUAUAGAUACAAAAAAGUAUUUAUCACAGUGAAAAUAUAUCACUAUGGUGCAAUGUCUACAAAGGACAUGAGAUUAUGAAUCUGCCCUUAUACGAACGAUAUUUUUCUAUAAGUACAGUGUUACAUGUAACUGUUAUAUGGACGAGAGACUUAUGGCAUGUUAUCAUCGUAUAUUAUGAGGGCUUUUAAAGACACAUUGAUAAACCAAAUUCCCAGAAGUGAAGUGUCAUUACAAGCGUAUCGCUUGUCAAAUCCUUAUAGGAUUCAAAUACAUGAAUGAUUCUAAUGUAAUUUGAUCCAUGAAUACUUGAGAAAGCCUUAAGCUAAUUCAUGGAAUCAAAUAGUCUAAAGCUAGCUCAUAUAUACUCAUUCCGUUAUAAUUAACGUGAUCAAAAUUUCCUCAAUGAGUACUGUGAUUGGACUACAAAAUCAAAUUCAAAUUCAAAUUAUGAUCAUUAUGUUGCUACAUAUUCUAACUUUCAAAGUUAUGAAUUACUUAGAACUCUUGAAGAGCUUAUAUGAGACGUAUCACUACACAAAGAUAUUGAUGUGUAUGGCUGGAUACGCCAUGAUGAUGGUUCAGUGCUUUAAUGUCAAUUAGCUUAUGUUGAUUAGUUAUUACUUAGUGUUUGAAUUAGGUCAUACGACUUAAUGAGGUAAGACCCAUUUAUAAUCGUUUAGCUUUGUUGGUAUUGUUUCAACUUUGCAGGUUUAAAAUUUCAUGAUGAGCCCCUAUAUGCAAAGCACGCAUGGUCUCACUUUAGUGAUGGACAAAUCAAACCAUUAUUUACAGUGCAUGAAGCUUGCAACGUUCAGGGGGAGAUUCUCAUUAGGGGGAGCAUCCAGAAGUAUGAUAACUAAAGACAUAUGCGCGUUGCACUCUUUUUCUCCUUCGACCAGGGUUAUUUUUCUCCCACUGGGUUUUUCUUACCUGGCAAGGUUUUUAAUGAGACAAUAUUAUGCGCGUCUAAUUUCAUCAUUCAUUGGUGGACAUCCAAGGGGGAGUGUUAUAAAUAUUAUAAUCUAUGUGGUUGUCCACGUAAUUACUCAUUAGUUAUGUACUCUGAUGUAAACCCUACCUUUAUAUAAAGAGGCUAAUGAGAAUGAAUGAGUACAUUUCUACCUCCUCCCAACUAUUCUCUAUGUGUCUUCUCUCUAUCUUUUCUUUACUUUACAACAAAAUACAAUUAUUUAAAAAUAACACAAAGAAAGAGAUGAAUUGUGAGAUGGUAGAGAUAUGAAAAAUGUUUUCUAUGGAACUAGGAAUUUUUUGUUGUGUGAGAUGUAAAUUAAAUGGUGAUAUAUAUAGAUUUUUUUUUUUAAGUGGGUAACUCAGCCAUUGGGGGUUUUUUUUAUAAAAAAAAUUCAUUUUAAACCGUUGGAACACAACGGUAACAUUUUGAUGUAUAAUUGAAUACCGUUGAUCUUCUUCUUUAAUUACAACCAACGGUCCAGAUCAAAUGACUGUUGGAUUUGAAAUGGAAACCGACCCAGCUGCUGACGCGUGGCUCUGGUGUUCGUCCUCAACGCGUGGCCUUCUCGCUUCGCCCGCGCCACUUGCGCGAGCUUCACAUGGCUGACGUCGUGCUUCACAUGGCUGAUGUCGGCAUUUUGGGCUGGGCGGGUCUUCAGAAAUGGAGGCCUGGGUCAUAGGUCUGACCCAGGUGAAGACCUAAUGAAGGCUUGGGUUAAAGAAAAUUUGUGGGUGAACUUAGCUUUUUUUUGUUGGGUCUUCAUUUGAUGUGGUUGAAGGCCUGUGUCAUGAUUUUUGGGUAAGGGUGGACUUGCUCUAAGAAGGUACCAAACAGGUUUUGAUGGGUCGACCCGGGACGAUCCA
rnacentral:lncRNA from 1 species